rnacentral:lncRNA from 13 species
GCCGUCUCUCUCUAGCCCUCAAAGGCGCCAGGCUCCCCAGCAUUACACACUCCGGCCACCAUCAUUACGCACACCUGCUUUCUCUCAUCACGCACAUCAGCAAUUAUUGGAAUUACCUGGACUCAAUCACCUGUGUCAUUACCUCCCCUAUAUCUGUCUGUUCCCAAGCUCUGUUCCCUGCUUCAGGAUUAAUGUUUGUAUGUCAUUAUGUUUACCCAGUGCUGACGCUGUUCCCGUCCUGUUUAAUGUCUGUGCUUUGUAAAAUGUUGACUCCCCAUACCUGCUUCUCAUCUCCAGUAUUGGUCCUUACAAGAGUGUUUUGUUUUGUAUGUGUGUGUGUGUCAGUGUGGUCAUCGCAGGGACCAACAGGCGGAAUUCCAUCAAGACCGGCAGAGAGGCAGCCAAUAGAGACUCUAUGUCUAGAUGCUUUUUAUAGAGGAGAUCAAGUUUAUAAUCUCCCUCAUCUCCCCCGUAACUAUUCCCCAGGUCGUUGCUGUAAAUGAGAAUGUGUUCUCAGUCAAUUUACCUGGUAAAACAACAGUAAAAUAAAAUAAAUUGCAGGGCUGACGAGACAAUGGAUUGCGCAGUGAGAUGGAACAGAGUAAAUAGCAGUUUUAACGUCAUAUUGUCCAUAUACCACAAACCCCAGAGGUGCGUUAUUGCUAUUAUAAACUGGUUAUCAACGUAAUUAGUGCAGCAAAAAUAAAUGUUUUGUCAUACCGUGAUAUAUGGUCUGAUAUACCAAGGCUGUCAGCCAAUCAGCAUUCAGGGCUCGAACCACCCAGUUUAUAAUGGCCAUUAUACCACACCCCCUUGGGCCUUGUUGCUUAAUUAUAGUUUAGAGACCCUUGUGUACAUCUCCCAACGUUUUUGUAACAUGCCUGCUAUUGGUUGAUAUACAGAAUUGGUUGUACAGCAUACACUUAAAUACAGGGUAUCAGGUUAGGGCUUUUGAUGCUGUGCUCAUCUCUUUUGAUAUUCUGUCUGUUGCUGUGUAUUGCUCCACUGACCAAAUCAAUCAAAUCAAAUGUAUUUAUAAAGCCCUUUUUACAUCAGCAGAUGUUACAAAGUGCUUUUACAUAAACCCAGCCUAAAACCCCAAACAGCAAGCAAUGCAGAUGUAGAAGCACAGUGGCUAGGAAAAACUCUUUAGAAAGACAGGAGCCGAG